rnacentral:rRNA from 1 species
GAAUUGUUCACAAUGGGCGCAAGCCUGAUGACGCAACGCCGCGUGGAGGAUGAAGGUCUUCGGAUUGUAAACUCCUGUUGCCCGGGACGAACGGCUCCAGCCUAACCCGUUGGCGUGUGACGGUACCGGGGGAGGAAGCCACGGCUAACUCUGUGCCAGCAGCCGCGGUAAUACAGCGGGGGCAAGCGUUGUUCGGAAUUACUGGGCGUAAAGGGCGCGUAGGCGGCCUUCUCAGUCGAACGUGAAAUCCCCGGGCUCAACCCGGGAACUGCGUCCGAUACUGGAAGGCUCGAAUCCGGGAGAGGGAUGUGGAAUUCCAGGUGUAGCGGUGAAAUGCGUAGAUAUCUGGAGGAACACCGGUGGCGAAGGCGACAUCCUGGACCGGUAUUGACGCUGAGGCGCGAAAGCCAGGGGAGCAAACGGG